AGAGCCCAGCUUGAGAAUCUGGCGCCUGCGGCGUCCGAAUUGUAGUCUGGAGAAGCGUCCUCAGCGGCGGACCAGGCCCAAGUCCCCUGGAAAGGGGCGCCGGAGAGGGUGAGAGCCCCGUCGUGGCUGGACCCUGCCGCACCACGAGGCGCUGUCUGCGAGUCGGGUUGUUUGGGAAUGCAGCCCCAAUCGGGCGGUAAAUUCCGUCCAAGGCUAAAUACGGGCGAGAGACCGAUAGCAAA
rnacentral:rRNA from 1 species